rfam:Oryza brachyantha chromosome 10, whole genome shotgun sequence.
AAUAAUCUCAUUUUUCGUUUUUUCGUGUCCAAUGUUUGACCAUUCGUUUUAUUUAAAAUUUUUUGUGAUUAAUAUUUCUAUUCUUACUAGAUGAUAAAAUAUGAAUAUUACUUUAUACUUAACUAUUUUUCAAAUAAGACGAAUGGUCAAACGUUAGACAUGGAAAAACA